UCUUUGGAUUGUAAACCCCUGUCACCGGGGAAGAAACGUUUCAAGUUAACAGCUUGAAACCUGACAUAACCCGGAGAGGAAGCAGUGGCUAACUCUGUGCCAGCAGCCGCGGUAAUACAGAGACUGCAAGCGUUAUUCGGAUUCACUGGGCGUAAAGGGUGCGCAGGCGGCCGUGUGUGUUAGGCGUGAAAGCCCGAGGCUCAACCUCGGAAUUGCAACCUAAAACUACACGGCUAGAGUACUGGAGAGGGUAGCGGAAUUCACGGUGUAGCAGUGAAAUGCGUAGAUAUCGUGAGGAACACCAAUGGCGAAGGCAGCUACCUGGACAGUAACUGACGCUCAGGCACGAAAGCGUGGGGAGCAAAAAGGGAUUAGAUACCCCUGUAGUCCACGCCCUAAAACGGUGCACACUAGGUCUUGGCGGAUUCGACCCCCCACGGACCGACGACACGACGUAGUAGUGCCGCCUGAGGACUAC
rnacentral:rRNA from 1 species